UACGUAGGGGGCAAGCGUUGUCCGGAAUCAUUGGGCGUAAAGCGUGCGCAGGCGGCUAUGCAAGACAGAUGUGAAAUCCCCGGGCUCAACCUGGGAACUGCAUUUGUGACUGCAUGGCUAGAGUACGGUAGAGGGGGAUGGAAUUCCGCGUGUAGCAGUGAAAUGCGUAGAUAUGCGGAGGAACACCGAUGGCGAAGGCAAUCCCCUGGACCUGUACUGACGCUCAUGCACGAAAGCGUGGGGAGCAAACAGG
rnacentral:rRNA from 1 species